CCUACGGGCGGCUGCAGUGGGGAAUAUUGGACAAUGGGGGGAACCCUGAUCCAGCCAUGCCGCGUGUGUGAAGAAGGCCCUCGGGUUGUAAAGCACUUUCAGUGAGGAAGAACGCCUGGUGGUUAAUACCCAUCAGGAAAGACAUCACUCACAGAAGAAGCACCGGCUAACUCCGUGCCAGCAGCCGCGGUAAUACGGAGGGUGCGAGCGUUAAUCGGAAUUACUGGGCGUAAAGCGCGCGUAGGUGGCUUGAUAAGCCGGUUGUGAAAGCCCCGGGCUCAACCUGGGAACGGCAUCCGGAACUGUCAAGCUAGAGUGCAGGAGAGGAAGGUAGAAUUCCCGGUGUAGCGGUGAAAUGCGUAGAGAUCGGGAGGAAUACCAGUGGCGAAGGCGGCCUUCUGGACUGACACUGACGCUGAGGUGCGAAAGCGUGGGUAGCAAACAGGAUUAGAUACCCGGGUAGUC
rnacentral:rRNA from 1 species